GGAGGACCUCCUGGCGGCCACCGUCGCCAAUUGCAGCCAAUGCAGCGCGGUCACGUCUGCAGCGACUCGGCGUCGUUUUGGUACGUGGACGCGUCGUGCAGUUCCCGGCUGAGCAAAAUGGGGUUGGCUCUCGGGCUCCCCCUGGCGGUCAUCGGCGUCGGUGCAGCGGGCUGCGGGGUGGCGCUGCUGCGGACCCGGAGGCAGCGCAGGGCGGACAGGGAGAAGCUGCGCUCGCACUCAGCGCUGUACAGCGGCAAUGAGGAGGAGGAGACGUGGGGGGGCAGCGCCGGAUUCGCAGCCACCACAGAGCGGCGUCGUGGGAAG
rnacentral:lncRNA from 1 species